AUUGAACGCUGGCGGCAGGCCUAACACAUGCAAGUCGAACGAGUGGCGGACGGGUGAGUAAUGACUGGGAAACUGCCUGAUGGAGGGGGAUAACUACUGGAAACGGUAGCUAAUACCGCAUACCAUCGGAUGUGCCUCGAUGGGAUUAGCUAGUGGGGGGGGUAAAGGCUCACCUAGGCGACGAGCCCUAGCUGGUCUGAGGGGAUGACCAGCCACACUGGAACUGAGACACGGUCCAGACUCCUACGGAGGGCAGAAGUGGGGAAUAUUGCACAAUGGGCGCAAUCCUGAUGCAGCCAUGCCGCGUGUAUGAAGAGGGCCUUCGGGUUGUAAAGUACUUUCAGCGGGGAGGCGUUACCCGCAGAAGAAGCACCGGCUAACUCCGUGCCAGCAGCCGCGGUAAUAC
rnacentral:rRNA from 1 species